rnacentral:tRNA from 1 species
GCCCGCAUAGUUUAACGGUCAGAACAUAGGUCUCAUAACUUGACUAAGUCAUGAGACUUGGAUAUCCUAAGAUCUGAGUUCGAGUAAGGCUUCACUGCUUGCC